rnacentral:rRNA from 1 species
AUUGAACGCUGGCGGCAUGCCUUACACAUGCAAGUCGAACGGCAGCGCGGGAGCAAUCCUGGCGGCGAGUGGCGAACGGGUGAGUAAUACAUCGGAACGUGCCCAAUCGUGGGGGAGAACGCAGCGAAAGCUGUGCUAAUACCGCAGACGAUCUACGGAUGAAAGCAGGGGAUCGCAAGACCUUGCGCGAAUGGAGCGGCCGAUGGCAGAUUAGGUAGUUGGUGAGGUAACGGCUCACCAAGCCUUCGAUCUGUAGCUGGUCUGAGAGGACGACCGGCCACACUGGGACUGAGCCACGGCCCAGACUCCUGCGGGAGGCAGCAGUGGGGAAUUUUGGACAAUGGGCGAAAGCCUGAUCCAGCCAUGCCGCGUGCAGGAUGAAGGCCUUCGGGUUGUAAACUGCUUUUGUACGGAACGAAACGGUCUUUUCUAAUAAAGAAGGCUAAUGACGGUACCGUAAGAAUAAGCACCGGCUAACUACGUG